rnacentral:lncRNA from 1 species
UGGGCGUGUGUGGGUUGUUGCGACGGUUUUCGUACGGUUUCAAUAAAUUAAGCAGGCAACUCUACUUCUUUAUUAAUGAGAUGAGGCAAAGUUUUUGUCUCAGCUUCAAAAGAAAAUCAUGAUGUUUCUACUAGUUUUGUAAGGGGACCUCCUUUUCGGCCCCUUAAGUGCCCGAACACGUCCCUAGCGCUCACUUGCCCUAUUCGUGGGCCGACCCAAUAAGACGAGCAAUUGACUGAUUGCAUUUGAUGCGUCAUGGUUGAGCCGUUGACUCAUCAUCUAUUGACUUUACAAAGAAUAAAAGAUAAAAC